UUUUAUUGAGAGUUUGAUCCUGGCUCAGGAUGAACGCUGGCGGCGUGCUUAACACAUGCAAGUCGAACGGAGUGCUCAUGACGGAGGAUUCGUCCAACGGAUUGAGUUACUUAGUGGCGGACGGGUGAGUAACGCGUGAGGAACCUGCCUCGGAGUGGGGAAUAACAGCCCGAAAGGGUUGCUAAUACCGCAUGAUGCAGUUGGGCCGCAUGGCUCUGACUGCCAAAGAUUUAUCGCUCUGAGAUGGCCUCGCGUCUGAUUAGCUAGUUGGCGGGGUAACGGCCCACCAAGGCGACGAUCAGUAGCCGGACUGAGAGGUUGACCGGCCACAUUG
rnacentral:rRNA from 1 species